rnacentral:rRNA from 1 species
UUUCCCCCUAGUAACGGCGAGUGAAGCGGGAAGAGCUCAAAUUUAAAAUCUGGCGGUGUAUUCCGUCCGAGUUGUAGUCUAGAGAAGCAUCAUCCGCGCUGGACCAUGUACAAGUCUCUUGGAAUAGAGCGUCAUAGAGGGUGAGAAUCCCGUCCUUGACAUGGACUCCCAGUGCUUUGUGUUGUGCUCUCAACGAGUCGAGUUGUUUGGGAAUGCAGCUCAAAAUGGGUGGUAAAUUCCAUCUAAAGCUAAAUAUUGGGCGAGAGACCGAUAGCGAACAAGUACCCGUGAGGGAAAGAUGAAAAGCACUUUGGAGAGAGAGUUAAACAGUACGUGAAAUUGUUGAAAUGGAAACGCUUGAAGUCAGUCGCGUUCUCUGGGAUUCAAGCCUUGCUUCUGCUUGGUGCAUUUCCUAAGUCUACCGGGCCAGCAUGAGUUUUGAACCGUUGGGAAAAAAGGCAGGGGGGAAUGUGGGCACCUCCCGGGUGUGGUUAUAAGCCCCCUUGGUCACACAACGGGCGGUUUGGGAAUUGAAGGAUUCCAGUGGCACCGCUUCCUGGUGGGUGCUUUUGAUUGCUUGGCGUAAAUGGGCUUUUAAAACGAACCCCGGCCUUGGAAACACCGGAACCAAGGGAAUUCUAAACAUGGUCUUGCCAAAUGGUUUUGGGGGGGUUAAAACCCCCUGGGCCCGUAAUUGGAAAGGGGAAAAGUUGGGGAAACCUUUUUAAGGGGGGCCCCCAACCCCCCGGGAACCGAAAACCUUUUUGUUGAAACGGAAACCCCAAGGGUUAAGAUUAUUAUUGUUUGGGGGAACCCCCAAAAAAAUAGGGGGAAACUAUUAGCCCCGGCCUAAAGGGGGGAAAACCCCCAAGGAAAAAAUCCUUUUUGGGGAGGGGUCCCUAAUACGAAUUUUUUAAAAUGGGGAAAAUCCGUUCCCUGCCCAAAAAGUGGGGGGGUUUAAGGGGGGCCCAAAAAAAAAAAUUCCCAAACCACCCCCCGGGAAUUGGGUUUUUCGAUUUG